rnacentral:lncRNA from 1 species
CUCAAUAUUUAUGUUGAAUUAUGUGUUUUAAGAUCUUAAUCAUUUUAUCUCAUUUCUGAUACUCAAUAUUCAUAAUGUGGAUAGGCAUGCUGCAUGAAUUAAAUUAAUUGAUAAUUGGAUUCUACAAAAAAAACUUAAAGACAAACCCAAGAUUCAUUGAUCAGCAAUGUAAUAUCACAUAAACUGGAAAAAGUUUAGCAUGAAUUUUGCAAGUUUUUCUAAAAAUUCAAUUGGAGAGAAAAUACUCUGGAUCAAUAUUAAGGUACGGCGAGUGACCAAAGAAAGCCCAAAUAUUAUUUUCUACAAGGAAACCUUUGGUACCGAUUCAUUUAAACAAAUUAACGUUCGAAUGAAUGAAGUUGACAAUAUUGCUCCAGCUUAUAUGGAACGCCCUAAAAUUCCGUUUAAGAAAAAAGAAGAUCUUUUAAGUUUAAUCCGACAUAUCCCUGCUGAACAUCACGAUUUUUUUUAAAUCUAAAACC